rfam:Loxodonta africana unplaced genomic scaffold scaffold_22, whole genome shotgun sequence.
CCCUUUACUCCAUACCACCCUGAACGCACCCAAUCUUGUCUGAUCUCAGAAACUAAGCAGGGUCAAGCCUGGUUAGUACUUGGAUGGGAAACUGCCUGGGAAUACCAUGUGUUAUAGGCU